rnacentral:pre_miRNA from 1 species
AUGUGAAUCACCUGGGGAUUUUGUGAAAAUGGGGAUUCUGAUACAGUAAGGCCAAAAUGGAGCCUGGGAUUUUACAUUUCUGACAAACUCCCAGGUGAUGCUGAU